rnacentral:tRNA from 2 species
GCCCGCCUAGCUCAAUCGGAUAGAGCGUCAGACUCUUACGAGCAAACCGGGUGAUCUGAAGGCUGCGAGUUCGACCCUCGCGGUGGGCU